UGUAACUAUUUUGGAACUCUGGAGUCUAUUGAAGGCUUAAAUCUUCCAGGGGAAUGCUUAGAUGAAAACACUGGAUGGAUGCCUGGAACUAUAUUGGCCACUGGGGAGAUGAACAUAAACAAGGCGCAGCUUCUCUCUUCAAGAAACUCAUGCUGGAUGACAGAGAAAACAAGCAAAACAAUUGAAAUACAAUUUUUUAACAGCAGUCUACCAUGAAUGAACCCUGAUGACUAUAGGAUGGGAGUUAGUCCCAGGCACGUACUAGGCCCCCUCCUGAUGUCACAGUCUCCAAAGCUGAGCUGGAUGGCAGAUGUUACAUGAUUUCAUGAAGGAACUGAAAACAUGUCUACACCAAAGCCCAUACAUGGAUUUUUCAUAAAUUAUGCAUAAUUGCCAAAACUGGGAAGCAACUGAGAUGUCCUUCUCUAGGCAAAUGGAAUUUGAGUCAUCCGCCGCCCCCCACCCCUUGGUCAAUCCAGAUAAAGGUGAGGUGCGGCAUUUGGUGACUUCUCCUACAAAUCCCAUAUAUUCAACCUUAGAAGAUUUGCUGAGUAAUAAAGAUGUCAGGUUGGAGUUUACACACACAGUGAAGUGCACAAAUAUUAAGUAUUCAGCCUAACUAACACGUGUGUAUACUUUUGGAGCCACCACUGAAUCAACCAUCAUGAAUCCUGGUACAUUGCAGGAGAGGUGCGACCACCUCACACUAAAUCAGGACCUGCAGAUGCCUGCCUCAUAGGCCACCACCACUCAUCCUGUACCCAAGAUUCCUGCCCACUCAUUCGAACCUGCUGCCCUUGAUGUUGAGAAGUAAAGCAACAGGGAUUAUGCUUGGUUUUGCACUCAAGGAAGGCAGCCUAAGUGGAGAAAAAACAGACUUCACCCAAGGCACUUGUCCCAUAUCCUUCCUUGUAGUAACCUGAGUGUCACAUUACAUCCAAGUUGGCAUUAUGACAAUGUGUCCUUCAUGCUUGUCUGUGAAUUCCUGGUCAUUUUCAUUGUACAAUAAACCUCUCCAAGAUGCUGGCUAUGGCUCAUCUGUUCACCCACUCAAGUUUGGGUGAGUCUUAAGGGACUAUGUAUUUGGAUCACUGAUUGUUAACUGAACACAUGAUUUUAAGGAGCAGUAAAUAAACGGGCCUUGGCUGCUUUUACUGGUAUUCUACAUGGCUUAUGAUACGAAAUGCAUGCAACUAUGAAAUCCUUAAUGAUUCCCAACCCACCAAACGUCUUACACCAUAGCUUGGAUUUCUUCUGCCCUCAGAAUAAGAGUGAAGAUUGCUACCAUGCAUAAACUAGUGCUUCCAAUCUGAAAAUAGGGGCAUUUUCUUUGACACUCUGUCUGGAUUCCCCUUGUUUGGUUUAUGUUUUUCAAUAAAAGUAAAAGAUACAGGACUAGGAAUCUCUUUGGAACCUGAAUUCAAUAGUAGCUAUAGAUAAGGUGUUUAACAAGCAGUACCAAUGAGAUGUAGAAACAGAAAUUGACUCUGUUCAUCUACUCAUCAGGCUAUAAAAGAGAGAAAAGGACUCCUUUACAAAAUAUGUUUCCA